rnacentral:lncRNA from 1 species
UCCCGGUUGCAUGAGUCAGGACUAAAAGCCUAGACCUUUAGUCCCGGCUGCAAUCCCGGUUGGGAAAACCGGGAGUAAAGGGGUUUGUCAACCGGGAUUACAACCAUCUAUCUACUAGUGUACAUUUCUAGCGGUGGGCGACAGCAUGACAUAUACCAGUAAAAACAAAAAAAAUGAAAAAUAGCACCGGCACCAUUUCUAUGCCCUUGUGAGCACCAUCGCGCCUCUGCCGUGUCCACACCGGUCCCCGUGGCAUGCGCCACCUAAUGUCAUUUGCUACACUUGGUAGGCCUUACCCAGGCUGCUAUACCUGUGCCCAACCCAUCCCCACUGCCUUUGCGUCGAGGUUGCCACCAUGUGCUAUGCCAUUGUUGAGGAUGACCUACCUCGCCCAGUACCGACUACCCUGCACCACCAAGGGGGAGGAAUUGAGGAACUAGAGUUAGCAGGGUAAGGCAGAGAGGGGUUGUGUUAGGUGAAUGGAAAGUAAAUAUGUUUUGGUCGCAUGUCUUGCAAAAGAUUUUGAUCAGUGGCAGUGCUGGUUGUUUUAGACUCUACAAAAGGGUUUUAUUUUUUUCUGGAAUAAAAAGGGUUUUAUUUUAGAUGUGGUUGAUGUUUUCAGCCACCUCAAAAAAUAGGGUCAUAUUUUUAC